rnacentral:rRNA from 1 species
UUCGUAGGCGGCGCGGCAAGUCGGAAGUGAAAUCUCCGGGCUUAACCCAGAGGCUGCUCCCGAAACUGCCGUGCUAGAGUGCGGGAGAGGCGAGUGGAAUUGCAGGUGUAGCGGUGAAAUGCGUAGAUAUCCGCAGGAACACCCGUGGCGAAGGCGGCUCGCUGGACCGCAACUGACGCUGAGGAACGAAAGCUAGGGGAGCAAACAGGAUUAGAUACCCCGGUAGUCCUAGCCCUAAACCAUCAGGACUUGGGGUGCAUCCCGUUCGGGGUGCGUCCCGUAGCUAACGCGUUAAGUCCUGCGCCUGGGGAGUACGGUCGCAAGACUGAA